UUCAGAUUAGAAGUUGCAAGCUUCCAAAAUCCGGCUGGCCUUUUCUGUUGAGCCAGCAUUCUUACAAGUUGCUCUAAGCCACUUGUUUGGAAAAGGGAAAGAAGAUUUAACAAAUUGGAGAUUUGGGUGCUAUCAAAGUCAGUAUGCUGUGCCUCGUUCUGCCAUGAGAUGGAAACUCCCUCCGGGCAGGGAGAUGAAGAGUCAUGGGACGGCUAAAGGAUUACCUUCGAAAAGAGUCAUGAGACUGGUUUGAACAAAGAAUCAACUCACAUGCUUAUCAUAUGAGACACUCUUCUUAAAGUGAGGAUUCUGGUGGACUUUAGAAAGACUGGGAGUCCUAGCCUUUAGAAGAGAUUAAACAACUCUGUAAGCAAUAGAAAGGAAAGUGGGACAAAAGCUUAAACUUUCAUUCUGGUUAUCUCUGUUCAGUGUCCACCAUCUUUCCAUUCUUCCAAGUAAAAUGUUCCGCGGAAUAACAGGCCUGUGAGGUAGGUUAGGCUAAGAGAUAGUGACUGGCCCAAGGGCAUCCAGUGAGCUGAGUGGGUAUUUCAAAUCCUUUUUGCUCAAAAAUGAAGAAAAGGGGGGAAUGAUAUAUUUAUUAUGAAGUAUUCCUAAAUACCCACAACAAAGAAACACAAGGUUGCUUUUAAACUGCAGACAUACCUCAGAGAUCUUGCGGGUUUGGUUUCCGACCUCCACAAUACAGUAUAGCAAAUAUCACAGUAAAGUGAGAAAGUUGUUUCCCAGGGCAUUUGAACGUUAUAUUUCCAAGACAGUGCAGUCUGUUAAGCCAGGCCACCCUGGCUGCAGAGGAGGAGGGGGGAACCCGGCUCCAGCCCUCGCCAGCUCCACUCCCAUGGCCAGAAGAGGGGCGGCAGUCGGGGUGUGGGAGGCUGGGCUGCUGCAGCUGCACCCGUGUCCUUGUGAGGAGCAUUAUCUGCAAAGCACAAUAAAACGAGGGUCAAAAAGCUUGGAUAGAAAAAACCUUUUUCAAGAGGGAGUGUAUCUACAUAAUUGCCAACAGCAAAGAUGCUACCAGGUGCUGCUGUGGCCAGCUUCUUACA